rnacentral:tRNA from 1 species
GCGCCCUUAGCUCAGUCGGAUAGAGCAGCUGCCUUCUAAGCAGCGGGUCGGGGGUUCGAGUCCCUCAGGGCGCGCCA